UACGUAGGUGGCGAGCGUUGUCCGGAUUUACUGGGCGUAAAGAGCGCGCAGGCGGUCGUACAAGUCGCGUGUGAAAGCCCCCGGCUCAACUGGGGAGGGUCACGCGAUACUGUUCGACUCGAAGGCAGGAGAGGGAAGUGGAAUUCCCGGUGUAGUGGUGAAAUGCGUAGAUAUCGGGAGGAACACCAGAGGCGAAGGCGGCGACCUGGACAGUUACUGACACUCAACUACGAAAGCGUGGGGAGCAAACAGG
rnacentral:rRNA from 1 species